AAGAUCACCUAUUAAGGCUGCUAACCUUAAAAUAAUGCCAUCAUUUGAUCUUU
rnacentral:tRNA from 2 species